rnacentral:rRNA from 1 species
AUUGAACACUGGCGGCAGGCCUAACACAUGCAAGUCGAGCGAGCGGCGGACGGGUGAGUAAUGUAUGGGGACUGCCCGCUAGAGGGGGAUAACUACUGGAAACGGUAGCUAAUACCGCAUACUAUCGGAUAACCCAUAUGGGAUUAGCUAGUAGGUGAGGUAAUGGCUCACCUAGGCGACGCUCCCUAGCUGGUCUGAGAGGAUGAUCAGCCAAACUGGGAGUGGGACACGGCCCAGACGCCUACGGAGGGAGCAGUGGGGAAUAGUGCACAAUGGGGGAAAGCCGGAUGCAGCCAUGCCGCGUGUAUGAAGAAGGCCCUAGGGGUGUAAAGGACGGUCAGUAGGGAGGCGUUACCGUCAGAAGAAGCACCGGCUAACCCCGUGCCAGCAGCCGCGGUAAUUC